rnacentral:rRNA from 1 species
UACGGAGGGUGCAAGCGUUAUCCGGAUUCACUGGGUUUAAAGGGUGCGUAGGCGGAUAUGUAAGUCCGUGGUGAAAUCUCUGGGCUUAACCCGGAAACUGCCAUGGAUACUAUGUGUCUUGAAUGUUGUUGAGGUGAGCGGAAUAUGUCAUGUAGCGGUGAAAUGCUUAGAUAUGACAUAGAACACCAAUUGCGAAGGCAGCUCACUAAGCAAAUAUUGACGCUGAGGCUCGAAAGCGUGGGGAUCAAACAGG